rnacentral:misc_RNA from 1 species
GUGAAUCAUCGAAUUUUUGAACGCAAAUUGCACUCUCUUCGGAGAGUAUGCCUGCUUGAGGGUCAGCCUAAAAAAAAUCGACGUAGUCGCUGUUUCGCGGUGACAUUCGUCGGAAAUUGGGUCAUCUUAAACCUUUUGGUUUUAAGCGGCUUAAAUUUUCUUUUACAAUCCCACGAAGGUUUUUAGAAUUUCUUUAACCUUUA